rnacentral:rRNA from 1 species
UACGUAGGUGGCGAGCGUUAUCCGGAAUGAUUGGGCGUAAAGGGUGCGUAGGCGGCCUGCUAAGUCUGGAGUGAAAGGUACCGGCUCAACCGGUACAGGCUCUGGAAACUGGCGGGCUAGAGAGCAGGAGAGGGCGGUGGAACUCCAUGUGUAGCGGUAAAAAUGCGUAGAUAUAUGGAAGAACACCAGUGGCGAAGGCGGCCGCCCUGGC